rnacentral:rRNA from 1 species
GACGAACGCUGGCGGCGUGCUUAACACAUGCAAGUCGAACGGAAAGGCCCUGCUUUUGUGGGGUGCUCGAGUGGCGAACGGGUGAGUAACAAGUGAGUAACCUGCCCUUGACUUUGGGAUAACUUCAGGAAACUGGGGCUAAUACCGGAUAGGAGCUCCUGCUGCAAGGUGGGGGUUGGAAAGUUUCGGCGGGUGGGGAUGGACUCGCGGCUUAUCAGCUUGUUGGUGGGGUAGUGACUUACCAAGGCAUUGACGGGUAGCUGACCUGAGAGGGUGACCAGCAAGAUUGCGAGUGUGAGACGGACGAAACCCCUACGGGGGGCAGCAGUGGAGAAUGUUGCUCAAUGCGCGGAAGACUGAUGCAGCAACGCCGCGUGCGUGAUGACGGCCUUCGGGUUGUAAACCGCUUUCGCCUGUGACGAAGCGAGAGUGACGGUAAUGGGUAAAGAAGCACCGGCUAAAUACGUG